UACGUGAGGUGCGAGCGUUAAUCGGAAUUACUGGGCGUAAAAGUGUGCGCAGGCGGCGCGCAAGUCGAGUGUGAAAGCCCCGAGCUUAACUUGGGUAAUUGACGCUCGAAACUACGUGGCUGGAGUGUGGCAGAGGAAGGUGGAAUUCCAGGUGUAGCGGUGAAAUGCGUAGAGAUCUGGAGGAACACCGAUGGCGAAGGCAGCCUUCGUGGGCCCAACACUGACGCUCAUGCACGAAAGCGUGGGGAGCAAACAGG
rnacentral:rRNA from 1 species